AUUGAACGCUGGCGGCAGGCCUAACACAUGCAAGUCGAACGGUAACAGGAAGAAGCUUGCUUCUUUGCUGACGAGUGGCGGACGGGUGAGUCAUGUCUGGGACACUGCCUGAUGGAGGGGGAUAACUACUGGAAACGGUAGCUAAUACCGCAUAACGUCGCAAGACCAAAGAGGGGGACCUUCGGGCCUCUUGCCAUCGGAUGUGCCCAGAUGGGAUUAGCUAGUAGGUGGGGUAACGGCUCACCUAGGCGACGAUCCCUAGCUGGUCUGAGAGGAUGACCAGCCACACUGGAACUGAGACACGGUCCAGACUCCUACGGGAGGCAGCAGUGGGGAAUAUUGCACAAUGGGCGCAAGCCUGAUGCAGCCAUGCCGCGUGUAGGAAGAAGGCCUUCGGGUUGUAAAGUACUUGCAGCGGGGAGGAAGGGAGUAAAGUUAAUACCUUUGCUCAUUGACGGUACCCGCAGAAGAAGCACCGGCUAACUCCGUG
rnacentral:rRNA from 1 species